UGAAACCGUUUAGGGGUAAACCUGAGAAACCCGAAAGGUCGAAGGAAGAAAUUCAUUCGCGUCUCGCGGCGGAAGGCGGGCGAAUUGCGAUACGGCGUAUCUAGUAUUAUGCGCCGUUCCGUUUGCCCCGUCGAGUCCGUCGCGAACGCGUGCACUUUUCUUCUGGUAGGACGUCGCGAUCCGUCGGGUGUCGGUCUACGGUGCGCGGUGGAGCCCGUCUGCAUUCGUUGCGGACGGACCCGCGCAAUCCCGGCCGGCUCGCUCGACGGUAUCAUUCAAGGUUCGGGGUCGCUGCUCUAUCUAGGAGCGUUCGGCUCGCGGCAAGCGCGCCAGUCGCGUCGGCGAUCGGACCUAGUGCCGAUUCCGACCUCUGGUGACUGUUGGCCGCGAAGUUCUCGGACAGACCGUUCGACCGAUCUGCGACGCUAUAGCUUUGGGUACUUUCAGGACCCGUCUUGAAACACGGACCAAGGAGUCUAGCAUGUACGCGAGUCAUUGGGAAUAACUAAACCUAAAGGCGUAAUGAAAGUGAAGGUCUUCCUCGCGAAGACCGAGGGAAGAAGGGCGUCCGAUUUCGGUCGGCGUCUCGCAUUCCCGGGGCGUCUCGUUCUCAUCGCGAGAUGAGGCGCACCAAGAGCGUACACGCUGGGACCCGAAAGAUGGUGAACUAUGCCUGGUCAGGACGAA
rnacentral:rRNA from 1 species